rnacentral:rRNA from 1 species
UACGUAGGGAGCGAGCGUUGUCCGGAAUUACUGGGCGUAAAGAGCGCGUAGGUGGGUAAUUAAGUCAGAUGUGAAAACUGGGGGCUCAACCCCCAGCCUGCAUUUGAAACUGGUUAUCUUGAGGGCAGGAGAGGAAAGUGGAAUUCCUAGUGUAGCGGUGAAAUGCGUAGAUAUUAGGAGGAACACCAGUGGCGAAGGCGACUUUCUGGACUGUACCUGACACUGAGGCGCGAAAGCGUGGGUAGCGAACGGGAUUAGAUACC